rnacentral:lncRNA from 1 species
GGGAGCGGUCCACGCAUCUAUUACGUCAUAGUUGACAGUAUAAAGGCAAGAUUCAGGGAACUAAUGGAGUUUCUUUUUCUUCUCCCCUUCUGUCAUAGAAAGGUCAAGCUAGUUUUCAACAUUUUUAUGUAUGUCAUUCUCAAUAUAGCAACAGAAUCUCUUAUGGAAAACAAUGCCAUGUGCAAGCUAUCUCUGAGCAAAUGGGACAUUUUUGAACCUUUGUCAAGCAACAUGCUGCAGAUAACAAAAUGUACAUGCUGGGACUGAUGAAAUUCUGCAAAGGAACAAUGCAAUGAAUGUCAACAUAGGAUACUACUGCUUCUAAUGAGUAGAGAAUUCCACAAGACUGGCUGCCAUCUUGUCCAUGUAGCUUUUUUGGCUUGGAAAAGUGUCUCCUAUAUAUGUAACUGCACUUCAAAAAGAAAUAUUUGAAAGUACAGAAAGACAUAAAAUUAAAAGUGAGUUUUCCUAUCAACUCCUCCUGCUGCUUUCUUCCAUAAAACUAAAUACUAACCUUUCUAUUAAUCUAUCAACAAUAAAUAUUUCUACUGGCUUCCA